rnacentral:rRNA from 1 species
CCUACGGGAGGCAGCAGUAAGGGAUAUUGGUCAAUGGGGGAAACCCUGAACCAGCAACGCCGCGUGAGGGAAGACGGUUUUCGGAUGGUAAACCUCUGUCCUCGGUGAAGAGGAUGACGGUAGCAGAGGAGGAAGCUCCGGCUAACUACGUGCCAGCAGACGCGGUAAUACGUAGGGAGCGAGCGUUGUCCGGAUUUACUGGGUGUAAAGGGUGCGUAGGCGGCUUGGCAAGUCAGUAGUGAAAUCCCUGGGCUUAACCCAUGAACUGCUAUUGAAACUGUCGAGCUUGAGUGAAGUAGAGGUAGGCGGAAUUCCCGGUGUAGCGGUGACAUGCGUAGAGAUCGGCAGGAACACCAGUGUCGACGGCGGCCUACUGGGCUUUACCUGACGCUGAGGCACGAACGCGUGGGUAGCACACAGGAUUCGAUACCCUUGUAGUC